rnacentral:snoRNA from 1 species
AUUUGGUGAUGUGGACAUUUUAUCUGUAACUCCCCAAAUAUUUCCCAUGCUUCGAAGAAUUCCUCCGUAUGUUUAUGUCUAAAAGUCUAGAUCUUGUUUCUUAACU